AGAGAGAGACAUGCGCGCAUAUCAAUAAGCGGAGGAAAAGAAACUAACAAGGAUUCCCUUAGUAACGGCGAGUGAAGCGGGAAGAGCUCAAAUUUGAAAUCUUCAAGGUUUUACCUUGACGAAUUGUAGUUUAAAGAAGUGUUUUCUGCUGAAGUUUUGGUAAAAGUUCUUUGGAAUAGGACAUCAUAGAGGGUGAGAAUCCCGUAUUUGACCAUUAUUUUCAGCUUUGUGAUACACUUUCAAAGAGUCGGAUUGUUUGGGAAUGCAGUCCAAAAUGGGUGGUAAAUUUCAUCUAAAGCUAAAUAUUGGCGAGAGACCGAUAGCGAACAAGUACCGUGAGGGAAAGAUGAAAAGAACUUUGAAAAGAGAGUUAAACAGUACGUGAAAUUGUCAAAGAGGGAAGCGUUUGACACCAGUGUUGUUUUCCUCGAAAAUCAAUUAAAAAUGGCUCGAUUUUGUAUUGCUUGAGACCUUAAAAGCUCACUGUACAUUUUUCGUGUCUUUUUUAAUGCACUUUUCGUUUAACAAGUCAACAUCAGUUUCUUUUGUUGUAAAAGGGUCAUUGGAAGGUGGCUUUCUUUCGGAGAAAGUGUUUAUAGCCUUUGGCCUCUGCAAUCGGAGAGACUGAGGUCUGCAGCGUAGACUCUUCGGGGUUAGAUACAUUUGUGCUAAGUUAUAGCUUUUUAUAGACAACUUGUUGACUAUAAUUAGUCUUGUAGCUUACUCGCUUAUGCUAUUUUACCUACGCUUAGGAUGUUGAAGAUGUAGCACAUCAU
rnacentral:rRNA from 1 species